CAAACCAAAGCUGGCGACCGGCGCACGGGUGAGUAACACGUAUCCAACCUGCCUCAUACUCGGGGAUAGCCUUUCGAAAGAAAGAUUAAUAUCCGAUAGCAUAUAUUUCCCGCAUGGGUUUUAUAUUAAAGAAAUUCGGUAUGAGAUGGGGAUGCGUUCCAUUAGUUUGUUGGGGGGUAACGGCCCACCAAGACUACGAUGGGUAGGGGUUCUGAGAGGAAGGUCCCCCACAUUGGAACUGAGACACGGUCCAA
rnacentral:rRNA from 1 species